AGUAUUAUGGCCGAUAAAGGCAAUAGACUGUAAAUCUAUUUAUAAGAUUUUUUCUUUAAUACUA
rnacentral:tRNA from 1 species